GGGCGCAUAGCUCAGUUGGUAGAGCGAUUCCCUUACAAGGAAUAGGUCACGGGUUCAAGUCCUGUUGCGCCCA
rnacentral:tRNA from 1 species